CUGGCUCAGAUUGAACGCUGGCGGCAGGCCUAACACAUGCAAGUCGAACGGUAACAGGAAGAAGCUUGCUUCUUUGCUGACGAGUGGCGGACGGGUGAGUAAUGUCUGGGAAACUGCCUGAUGGAGGGGGAUAACUACUGGAAACGGUAGCUAAUACCGCAUAACGUCGCAAGACCAAAGAGGGGGACCUUCGGGCCUCUUGCCAUCGGAUGUGCCCAGAUGGGAUUAGCUUGUUGGUGGGGUAACGGCUCACCAAGGCGACGAUCCCUAGCUGGUCUGAGAGAAUGACCAGCCACACUGGAACUGAGACACG
rnacentral:rRNA from 1 species